GUUUGAUACGUAGUUUGCCUGAGUUGUUGAGGAUGGAAUGGAAGAAGGAAGAACUUAGACUCAAGAAAAGAGAAAAAAAAGGAAAAAAUGAAGAGUCAAGUUCACCACUCAACGCUAUUUCCAGUACUGAGCGCCAGUUUUGAAGGUGAGUCCACCAUCUCUCGCUUGAGCGGCACUGCUGAGCGUCCGACGAUUUGGAGGCAAACCGUUUAGCGGCAGAAUGGACCGCUGAGCGGUCGGUAAUUUGGAGGCAAACCGCUGAGCAGUCAAAUUGAGCGUUGAGUGCUGGAAUGUUGGGCUUGGAAUUAAAUUUCAUCCUAACUACUGAGCUCUGAAGGUGAAGCCCCAAAAGGUUGGGAUACUAACGUUCAAGAGAAAUUACACUCACGGGAGACGGUUUGUCUCUAAAAUCCUCCUCUCACUACAGAACAAUAGUAAAACAAUAGAGUAAAUUAUGUAAAUUAUGAUGGUUAUUUUUGUAUAUUGUAGCAGUUUUA